rnacentral:rRNA from 1 species
GAUGAACGCUGGCGGCGUGCUUAACACAUGCAAGUCGAACGAGAGAAGAUCGGUGCUUGCACUGAUCCGAUCGAGUGGCGGACGGGUGAGUAACGCGUGGGUAACCUGCCUCAUACAGGGGAAUAACAGUUGGAAACGGCUGCUAAAACCGCAUAAGCGCACGGUAUCGCAUGAUACAGUGUGAAAAACUCCGGUGGUAUGAGAUGGACCCGCGUCUGAUUAGCUAGUUGGUGAGGUAACGGCCCACCAAGGCGACGAUCAGUAGCCGGCCUGAGAGGGUGAACGGCCACAUUGGGACUGAGACACGGCCCAAACUCCUACGGGAGGCAGCAGUGGGGAAUAUUGCACAAUGGGGGAAACCCUGAUGCAGCGACGCCGCGUGAGUGAUGAAGUAUUUCGGUAUGUAAAGCUCUAUCAGCAGGGAAGAUA